rnacentral:rRNA from 1 species
UACGUAGGGUGCAAGCGUUGUCCGGAAUUAUUGGGCGUAAAGAGCUCGUAGGCGGCCUGUUGCGUCCGCUGUGAAAGCCCGGGGCUUAACCCCGGGUCGGCAGUGGAUACGGGCAGGCUAGAGGUAGGUAGGGGAGAAUGGAAUUCCCGGUGUAGCGGUGAAAUGCGCAGAUAUCGGGAGGAACACCGGUGGCGAAGGCGGAUCUCUGGGCCAUUACUGACGCUGAGGAGCGAAAGCGUGGGGAGCGAACAGG